AGAACACUGCUCUCAUCAUGCAGAGCUAGGAGUGUGAUGGAGGGCAGAAGAUGGAGAACACAGGCUUUGGCUGAAGAUCAUGUUGGUCAAGGGGCUUGAAACUGAACUAGAGGUCACAAAUCCAGACAACACUGCCAGCCUGUACAUUGUGGCAUAUGCGAAUCGUGCUGAUUUUCAAAUAGUGUAUUGUGAAUCCUGGAGCCUGGAACCAUCGCGACAAAUACUGCUUGGUGAAGAAUUAAAAAAAAAAAGAGCUUCAGAACAAUGAAUCUUCAUCUAGAAUAAGAAUAGAUUGAAGCUAAGAGGAAUACCUUGUGACCAGUCAAUUGGAGAGGAACUCCAGCCUGUACUGCUUUCCUUCAAAUCCUGUACUGGUUCCAUGCCAUGAUAUCAGGGGCAUUGGCCAUGCUAAUGGAUGCUGCUUUCAACAGAGCAUUUAUUGAAGAUACUGAAAUGGAGAUCAUAUAUGACACUUUCUGUAUCGAUCCCCAGUUAAAAGCUGAUGGCAUCAAAGUUAAAGCAACAUUCAUCGAGUGACCUGUGUGCGGAGAUAAUUUACCGGUCUAGGGACUUUGCUUUCCAAUACUUUAAAUUACAAUAAGUCUAAGAUUUUAGGAUUGAAUGAAUUGAGGUAAAAUGUGCCUCUUC